rnacentral:rRNA from 1 species
UUGGAGGGCAAGUCUGGUGCCAGCAGCCGCGGUAAUUCCAGCUCCAAUAGCGUAUAUUAAAGUUGUUGCAGUUAAAAAGCUCGUAGUUGAAUUUUAGGCCUGGCCAGGCGGUCCGUCUUUGGCGAGUACUGUUCUGUGUCGGGUCUUACCUUCUGGUGAACCGGUAUGUUCUUUAUUGAGUGUAUCGUGGAGCCAGGACCAUUACCUUGAAAAAAUUAGAGUGUUUAAAGCAGGC